rnacentral:misc_RNA from 1 species
UAAUAAGUGUUUUAUGGCACUUUUUAAAUCCAUAUCCACCUUGUGUGCAAUGUCAGUCGAUCUUCUUCAUUGGAGAUCGACCAAACAUCAACUUUAUCUUUUAACUCUUUGUCUGAAAAAUAUUAUGAAUAAACAAUUCAAAAUA